AUUGAACGCUGGCGGCAGGCCUAACACAUGCAAGUCGAACGAGUGGCGGACGGGUGAGUAAUGUCUGGGAAACUGCCUGAUGGAGGGGGAUAAAUACUGGAAACGGUAGCUAAUACCGCAUACCAUCGGAUGUGCCCAGAUGGGAUUAGCUAGUAGGUAGGGUAAAUGCUCACCUAGGCGACGAUCCCUAUCUGGUCUGAGAGGAGUACCAGCCACAAUGGAACUGAGACACGGUCCAGACUCCUACGGGCGGCAGCAGUGGGGAAUAUUGCACAAUGGGGGAAAGCCUGAUGCAGCCAUGACGCGGGUAUGAAGAAGGCCUUAGGGUUGUAAAGGACUGUCAGCGGAGAUGCGUUAGCCACAGAAGAAGCACCGGCUAACCACCUGCCAGCAGCCGCGGUAAUUC
rnacentral:rRNA from 1 species